rnacentral:misc_RNA from 1 species
GCCUUGUGCCCAAGGCGCAACUUCCACAACUAAGAUAGACACACACCAUGCAAUUCUCUAUCAUAAAAUAUAAAUUUCAGCUGGAAUAGGAAAUAGCAGAGGCAAAUUCUGCUGACUGAAUUGUGAUUCUUCUUUUGCAGAAUCAGGCUUGAAGACAGUAGACAAAACCAAGAAAUACAACAUAAAGCUAUCACAAUCAAGUUGCACUACAUAUCACUUCUAAUCUUAUGUUUCAUGAAAGGAUAAAGCA